UUCCAUUAUCUGCAACUGCAGCUAAUAGAAAUUAGUAAGAGUUAUUAGGUACCAAUGAACACUGGGCUUUGGGUGAAAAUUAUAAGCUUUUAUAUCUAGCUGAUGGGCCUUGUACCUAAUAGUAUUUGGCUUGGUUUUUUAGAGUGAUUUCCAUCUCAUGCCUGUUGCUUUUGUACCAUUCAUUUUAUGUAUUUUUAAUUGUUUAAAGAAGAGCUGCUCGGGUUUUAUAAGUGGUGUUUUUCUCCUUCUUUUAGGUCUCUCUGCAAUGCAAUCAAUGUUUACAACCUCACCUGCAAUAACUGUUCAGAAAACUGCACUGAUGUUCUGUUUAGUAACAAGAUUACCUUCUUAAUGGACCUCCUGAUACACCAGUUGACGGUUUAUGUUCCAGAUGAAAAUAAUACUGUUUUGGGAAGAAAUACAAAUAAACAAGUUUUUGAGGGCUUGACAACGGGACUUCUCAAAGUCAGUGCUGUGGUUUUGGGCUGCCUGAUUGCCAGUCGACCAGAUGGAAACUGCCAGCCAGCUACCCCCAAAAUACCAACACAGGAAAUGAAAAACAAACCCUCACAAGGUGAUGCUUUUAACAAUCGAGUUCAGGACCUUAUCAGCUACGUGGUGAACAUGGGUCUGAUUGACAAACUGUGUGCCUGCUUCCUCUCGGUGCAAGGCCCAGUGGAUGAGAAUCCCAAGAUGGCCACAUUUCUGCAGCAUGCCACAGGACUCUUACAUGCAAUGUGCACAUUGUGCUUUGCUGUCACUGGAAGGUCAUACAGCAUAUUUGACAAUAAUCGCCAGGAUCCCACAGGGCUGACAGCUGCUCUUCAGGCAACCGACCUGGCUGGAGUUCUUCAUAUGCUCUACUGUGUCCUCUUCCAUGGCACCAUCUUGGACCCUAGCACUGCCAGUCCCAAGGAAAAUUACACCCAAAAUACCAUCCAAGUAGCCAUUCAGAGUUUACGUUUCUUCAACAGCUUUGCAGCUCUUCAUCUGCCUGCUUUUCAGUCUAUUGUAGGGGCAGAGGGCUUGUCCCUUGCAUUCCGGCACAUGGCCAGCUCCCUGCUGGGCCACUGCAGCCAAGUCUCCUGUGAAAGCCUCCUUCAUGAGGUCAUCGUCUGUGUGGGCUACUUCACUGUUAACCACCCAGAUAACCAGGUAAUAGUGCAGUCCGGCCGCCACCCCACAGUGCUGCAGAAGCUCUGCCAGUUGCCCUUCCAGUAUUUCAGUGACCCACGGCUGAUCAAAGUACUGUUCCCUUCACUUAUCGCUGCUUGUUACAACAACCAUCAGAACAAGAUCAUUCUGGAGCAAGAGAUGAGCUGUGUUUUACUGGCCACUUUCAUUCAGGAUUUGGCACAGACUCCAGGUCAAGCAGAAAACCAGCCUUACCAGCCCAAAGGGAAAUGCCUUGGUUCCCAAGACUAUCUUGAGCUGGCUAACAGAUUUCCUCAGCAGGCCUGGGAAGAAGCUCGACAGUUUUUCUUGAAAAAAGAGAAAAAAUAAAUAAAUGUUUUGGUUGAUUCUGUAUUUGAGUACCCUUGUUAAUAUUUUAAAUUGUUCAAACAAACAUUCUAAUUGUUCCUUAAGAACUCAUUUUCACAUGUUUAUACUCUCCCCACACUGUAGAUAUGGCAUGUACUUUACACUAUUUAUGACUGUAGAUACUUGAAUGUUCUACUUGCUAAUUUUGCAAGUUGAGUGUAUUUCAUUUAUGCAAAAUAUCUUGGAGUUUGAUAACUUCCAUCUAAUGAUAAUAUAUACUUUGCAUUUGUAAUAUUGGUGAAAGUAGACAUAAAAUUAGCAAGUCUGUUUUGUUCUUGUAAUAAAAUAACUUAUUCUGUUUUCAUUGUUGACUUUUCAUGUUAAGGAAAUACAAAUCUGAAAGAAAAAUGUUAACUCCACCCCUUGAAGUAUCUUAAAUAAAGACUUAAUUAAAGUUUACCUGCU
rnacentral:lncRNA from 1 species